rnacentral:rRNA from 1 species
AUACGUAGGGAGCGAGCGUUAUCCGGAUUUAUUGGGCGUAAAGCGUGUGUAGGCGGUUUAUUAAGUUUAAGAUAAAAGCCCGGGGCUCAACUCCGGUUCGUCUUAAAAACUGGUAGACUUGAGUGUGGCAGAGGUAAAUGGAAUUUCUAGUGUAGCGGUGAAAUGCGUAGAUAUUAGAAGGAACACCAGUGGCGAAGGCGAUUUACUGGGCCAUAACUGACGCUGAGGCACGAAAGCGUGGGGAGC